UAUUAAUUGGUGUAUUUGAGGCACAAUGAAUUUUGAAUUCUUAGGGAAUAGUUUAAUUCUAUUAUUAUAA
rnacentral:tRNA from 1 species